GRAUUNGCCCUUAGAGUUUGAUCAUGGCUCAGGAUGAACGCUAGCGACAGGCUUAACACAUGCAAGUCGAGGGGCAGCGGGGAAGUAAGCUUGCUUACUUCCGCCGGCGACCGGCGCACGGGUGAGUAACACGUAUGCAACCUGGCCGUCACAGAGGGAUAACCGGGAGAAAUCCCGCCUAAUACCGCAUAAUACCUUCCGGGGACAUCCCCGGGAGGUCAAAGGAGAGAUCCGGUGACGGAUGGGCAUGCGCCGCAUUAGUUAGUUGGCGGUGUAACGGACCACCAAGACGACGAUGCGUAGGGGUUCUGAGAGGAAGGUCCCCCACACUGGUACUGAGACACGGACCAGACUCCUACGGGAGGCAGCAGUGAGGAAUAUUGGUCAAUGGGCGAGAGCCUGAACCAGCCAAGUCGCGUGAGGGAAGACGGUCCUAUGGAUUGUAAACCUCUUUUGCCGGGGAGCAAAGAGCGGCACGUGUGCCGCGCCGAGAGUACCCGGAGAAAAAGCAUCGGCUAACUCCGUGCCAGCAGCCGCGGUAAUACGGAGGAUGCGAGCGUUAUCCGGAUUUAUUGGGUUUAAAGGGUGCGCAGGCGGCSYGUUAAGUCAGCGGUAAAAUUUCGGGGCUCAACCCCGACGAGCCGUUGAAACUGGCGAGCUAGAGUGGGCGAGAAGUAUGCGGAAUGCGUGGUGUAGCGGUGAAAUGCAUAGAUAUCACGCAGAACUCCGAUUGCGAAGGCAGCAUACCGGCGCCCAACUGACGCUCAUGCACGAAAGCGUGGGUAUCGAACAGGAUUAGAUACCCUGGUAGUCCACGCAGUAAACGAUGAGCACUAAUUGUCCGGAGCGAGUGAGCUCUGGGUGAUACAGCGAAAGCGUUAAGUGCUCCACCUGGGGAGUACGCCGGCAACGGUGAAACUCAAAGGAAUUGACGGGGGCCCGCACAAGCGGAGGAACAUGUGGUUUAAUUCGAUGAUACGCGAGGAACCUUACCCGGGCUCAAACGCGGCGUGAAUACUUUUGAAAGGAGGUAGUCAGCAAUGACACGCCGCGAGGUGCUGCAUGGUUGUCGUCAGCUCGUGCCGUGAGGUGUCGGCUUAAGUGCCAUAACGAGCGCAACCCCUACCGUCAGUUGCCAGCAGGURARGCUGGGGACUCUGACGGGACUGCCGGCGCAAGCUGCGAGGAAGGCGGGGAUGACGUCAAAUCAGCACGGCCCUUACGUCCGGGGCGACACACGUGUUACAAUGGCAGGUACAGCGGGAAGCCACCUGGCGACAGGGCGCGGAACCCGAAAACCUGUCUCAGUUCGGAUUGGAGUCUGCAACCCGACUCCAUGAAGCUGGAUUCGCUAGUAAUCGCGCAUCAGCCACGGCGCGGUGAAUACGUUCCCGGGCCUUGUACACACCGCCCGUCAAGCCAUGGAAGCCGGGAGUGCCUGAAGUGCGUGACCGCAAGGAGCGCCCUAAGGCAAUACCGGUGACUGGGGCUAAGUCGUAACAAGGUAACCGUAAAGGGCGAAUUC
rnacentral:rRNA from 1 species